rnacentral:rRNA from 1 species
GGUGGCGUGCCUAAUACAUGCAAGUCGAGCGAGCGGAACUAACAGAUUUACUUCGGUAAUGACGUUAGGAAAGCGAGCGGCGGAUGGGUGAGUAACACGUGGGGAACCUGCCCCAUAGUCUGGGAUACCACUUGGAAACAGGUGCUAAUACCGGAUAAGAAAGCAGAUCGCAUGAUCAGCUUUUAAAAGGCGGCGUAAGCUGUCGCUAUGGGAUGGCCCCGCGGUGCAUUAGCUAGUUGGUAAGGUAAAGGCUUACCAAGGCGAUGAUGCAUAGCCGAGUUGAGAGACUGAUCGGCCACAUUGGGACUGAGACACGGCCCAAACUCCUACGGGAGGCAGCAGUAGGGAAUCUUCCACAAUGGACGCAAGUCUGAUGGAGCAACGCCGCGUGAGUGAAGAAGGUUUUCGGAUCGUAAAGCUCUGUUGUUGGUGAAGAAGGAUAGAGGUAGUAACUGGCCUUUAUUUGACGGUAAUCAACCAGAAAGUCACGGCUAACUACGUGCCAGCAGCCGCGGUAAUACGUAGGUGGCAAGCGUUGUCCGGAUUUAUUGGGCGUAAAGCGAGCGCAGGCGGAAGAAUAAGUCUGAUGUGAAAGCCCUCGGCUUAACCGAGGAACUGCAUCGGAAACUGUUUUUCUUGAGUGCAGAAGAGGAGAGUGGAACUCCAUGUGUAGCGGUGGAAUGCGUAGAUAUAUGGAAGAACACCAGUGGCGAAGGCGGCUCUCUGGUCUGCAACUGACGCUGAGGCUCGAAAGCAUGGGUAGCGAACAGGAUUAGAUACCCUGGUAGUCCAUGCCGUAAACGAUGAGUGCUAAGUGUUGGGAGGUUUCCGCCUCUCAGUGCUGCAGAUAACGCAUUAAGCACUCCGCCUGGGGAGUACGACCGCAAGGUUGAAACUCAAAGGAAUUGACGGGGGCCCGCACAAGCGGUGGAGCAUGUGGUUUAAUUCGAAGCAACGCGAAGAACCUUACCAGGUCUUGACAUCUAGUGUCAUUUGUAGAGAUACAAAGUUCCCUUCGGGGACGCUAAGACAGGUGGUGCAUGGCUGUCGUCAGCUCGUGUCGUGAGAUGUUGGGUUAAGUCCCGCAACGAGCGCAACCCUUGUUAUUAGUUGCCAGCAUUAAGUUGGGCACUCUAAUGAGACUGCCGGUGACAAACCGGAGGAAGGUGGGGAUGACGUCAAGUCAUCAUGCCCCUUAUGACCUGGGCUACACACGUGCUACAAUGGGCAGUACAACGAGAAGCGAGCCUGCGAAGGCAAGCGAAUCUCUGAAAGCUGUUCUCAGUUCGGACUGCAGUCUGCAACUCGACUGCACGAAGCUGGAAUCGCUAGUAAUCGCGGAUCAGCACGCCGCGGUGAAUACGUUCCCGGGCCUUGUACACACCGCCCGUCACACCAUGGGAGUCCGCAAUGCCCAAAGCCGGUGGCCUAACCUUCGGGAAGGAGCCGUCUAAGGCAGGGCAGAUGACUGGGGUGAAGUC